CGGUCCCGCCCACCGAGAUGGUGCGGAGGUAAUGGAGGCUGCCAGUAGUUGGGCGCUUUGGAGGGAAGGAAACUGAAGGAGCUGAAAAUGAGGAACUAUUGCUGCUAAUUGGGGAGUCUCGGACGAGAGGACAACAUCUGAAAGUUUGAACCAGACUCAUGAACACUAGUAGUCCUUUCAGAGCAUUGGUUUGGAGACUUGGACAAUGGGGUCCUGAGAGCAACCAAGAUUGGGCCUUCGUGGGAUAACGUCUUCUCAGGUGGACUGGGGCUUCUGUCAGAGAAAUCAGCUUACAGACUGUUCUCAGGAGUGGAAUCCUUACAUAACCCAGGGUCUGCCUGUACCUCAAAAUGGAGUCUGUUUUAUUCACCACAAAACCAAAGUAGCUGAAGUUGUUGCAGUGAAGCAAGAUGAUCACAGAAAAAUCCUCAUGCCGCUAUGCUGAAGCAGAGCAAGGCAAUCUCCAGCUGUCUGCACCUCAGCGUGUCUUGGACCUCUGUGUGGGAGAAGAGCUGGAAGUAAUGUGCAGGCAGGCACGUCUGACUGCGCCCACACCACCAGACUCACCACUGAUCACAGCAGUGGAGUAGUAAUGCACUGAGAACAGGAUCCAGGUGCACUUUGCAUCAGGCCCCACAGGUUUACAAUGAGGAAGAACUGUAAUACCGAUGGCGAUCCUGUCUGCUUGGAUGGGGUCACCAACCCUUUGGAAUAAGUUAGGUGGAAGUAAUGUUCUCAACUGAUGGAAUCAUAAAGUCCCACAGCACGGAAACAGACCCUUCGGCCCAAGUCCAUGCUGACUAUCAGGCACCCAUUUACACCAAUCCCACAAUGAUCCUGUUUUUUUAUUCUCACCACAUUUGCAUCAACUCCCCUCCCCACCCCCCAGAUUCUACCACUCACUUACACACUAAGGGCUAUUUACUGCAGCCAAUUGAUCUACUAACCUGCACCUCUUUGGGAUGUGAGAAGAAACCGGAGAAACCAGAGGAAACCCAUGUGGUCAUAGGAAGAACGUGCAAACUCCACAUGGACAUCAGCGGAGAUGAUAAAGAGAUAUUAGCACAGAACGCCAGUACUGGGCCAAACGCUGGCAAAUUGGACCAGUUUGGAUGGGGCAUCUGGUCGGCAUGGACCAGUUGGGCCAAAGGGCCUGUUUCCAUAUGGUAUGACUAUGACUCUAUGACAGAAGACCAAAGCCCUGUUAUAAGAGAUAGCUGCAACGUGUGCCAUUUUGGGUUGGUACCAUUUUAAGAAUUGUAGCUUGUGCCAAGCACCUUCUGUGUUCUUACAACAUUGCUUGGUGUGGAAUGCACCAGAGAGUAUGUCUCUGUGGAGAGAGCUACAGUGAGGAGAAGGCUGCCUUGGUACUGUAAGCUAUUAUUUAAUAAAACACAUGUUGUUAGUUUGAAUUACCGACCAUUUUCCAGAUCCUUGGAGCAGAGGUUUUGAGACAGCAGUUUUUAAGGGGCUUCUUAAAGGAGAAAAGAUAAUCAGCGAUGUUAUAGAGUCAUAGAGUUGUGCAGCACAAAAACGAGCCCUUCGGCCCACCACGUCCAUGCUGACCUUUUGGCCCAUCUACAUGAUUCCCAUUUGCCUGCAUUAGGACCGUACCCUUCUAUGCCUUGUCUGUUCAACUGCCUGCCUAAAUGUUCUUCAACGUAGUGAAUGUAUCUGACUCCACCAACUCCUCUGGCAGCAUGUUUCACAUAUCAACCACUCUCUGUGUUUAAAAAUUUUCUCUUCAAAUCCCCUUUAAAACUCUUCCUUAAACUCAUUACCUCUUGUCUUUUGAUACCCCUAAUAUGGGAAAAAGAUUCUAACUAUCUACCCUGUCUAUGUCUCAUAAUUUUAUAUACAUCUGUCGGGUCACCCCUAAACCUCCUUUGCUCCAGGGAAAAUAAGCCCAGCCUGUCCAAUCUCCCAUAACUAAAGUCCUCCAAUCCAGGCAACGUCCUGGUGAACCUCCUCUGCACUCUCUCCAGCACAACUACAUCCUUCCUACAGUGUGGCAACCAGCACUGCACACAACACUCCAAGUGUGGCUGAACGAGUAUUUUGUAAAUUUGCAACAUAACAUCACAUCUUUAAUAUUCCAUGCCUUGACCUAUGAAGGCAAGCAAGCCAUAUGUCUUCUUCACCAUGUAAUCUACCUGUGUGGUCACUUUCAGGAAAUUGUGGACUUGAACCCCAAAGUCAUCUGUUCAUCAACAUUCCUAAGAGCCCUAUCAAUUACCGUGUGUGACCUGCAUCUAUCUCACUUCCCAAAAUGUAUUACUUUGCACUUGACAGGAUUACAUUCCAUCUGCCAAUGCUCCACCCAACUUUCCAACUGAUCUAUUUCCUGCUGUAGCCUUAGACAACACCACCAACCUUUGUGUCAUCCACAAACUUACUAAUCAGAUCUCCUACAUUUGUGUCCAAGUUGAUAAUAUACAGGAAACCCCUGCAUUACAGGGUUGCAUUCUUAAAAAACAGUCCAUAUUGUGAUUUUCUGUGAAACCGCAUCAUCUGCGCAUAUGUCA